UCCAUAGUGAUGUUGUUUGAUGAUUUGUUAAUGACGUAGUAUUCAGGUUUAGGUUCCUAACUACUGGAAAGUUAGAUUUUGAAUCAUUCCAUUGGUAGUUUUCUUGCUUGAAGUCUAUUUUACUUUGAGUAUUGCUAAUGGUGUUGCUCAUGAUGCUCUGUCACAAUUAUAUACAAAUGAUGAAUUUUCAGAAUUUUAUUAUACCUAAACUGGUUUGAAAGCAUAUUGUCAAUUCUGGAAGAAAAAUAAAAAUUUUGGCCUUAGUUUUGUAUGAAAUUGAAUACAGUUGAAGGAGUAAUUGAAUCUUCUUUGAAUCUUUCUACUGGACGAGUGAUGUAGAGAGAAUGAAAUGAAGCAAUCCAAGUUCAAGAGGAUUUGUGUCUUCUGUGGGACUAGCCACGGCAAGAAGAGGAGCUACCAAGCAAUCCACAUUUACUUUUCUCCCUCUACUUCGUUACCUUGGACUAGCCGGGGCAAGAAGAGCAGCUGCCAAGCAAUCCACAUUUGUGUCUUCUGAAGAAGAAUUAUCUUUAGUGGUUUCUCUCAUCUUAAUGACUAGAUUCAAAUAACGGGGAAAACAAAUGGUAUAUUGGCUUGGGGUGAUGCUUAUCAGUGUUGGCUUAAAAUCUCAGUGAAUCAAGGAACCCCUUGUAGAAUAUGCAGUGCAAUAUGCUGUAGCAGCAGCCCUUGCGACAUUGGAUAAGAAUAAGAAGGAUUUGUUACACAAACUACUUUUACAAGGUCUUGACAUUACAAUCUUAGGUUGCAAUGACUUCUAUUCAUAUCGGAAUCAGGUGGGGUUUAUGAUGUGAGAUUGGAAAAGGGAAAGUUGGCAGUGGUUUUGAUGUUAGUUCUGCAGUUUACAGUGUCAACAAUAUGUUCGCUUUUCACCAGAAGUGAUUUCUUCUGCUUAGGUUUCUCUUUCUCUCCCUCUCUCUUUCUCUGUCUAUAUGUACAAUUAUAUUUUGUCCUUGUAAAGUAUUAUUGAAUUCUUACCUUGGCCCUUAAAGUUUAUUUUUUCCAAUUUGGUUUCUAAACUAUAUAAUCAUUCCCAAUUUGGCUCAAUUCCCAACUGCUGUCCAAAUUAUUGACAUAAGUUGGCACAUGGCACUCUUUGGUCCCUCAUGGCAUAUUAAAUAACCAUUCAUUUUUGUAAAUGUAUGAUAGCAUUGGUGUUACACUUUGGCAUUUCAACUCAUCAAUGAUCAUUGAUCAAAACAUAGCAUGAAAACAUUCAACUUUGUCAGAUAUCAAGAGCUUGUGGCAGAGUUUAUGAUGGGAAUGAGCUGAGAACAUGAAAAACAAAAGAAGGAUGCUGUUUUUUUGAAUGAAUAAAAUUGCAGGAUGUAGUUAAAGGAAAAGCGUUAAGCCAUUGGUGAUGUGCUGAAUGGCAAAUGGGACCAUGAAAGAACUACACAGAAGAGAAUGAUUUUUCGGCUCCAAUGGGGCAGAUUUUGGAUAGACUACAGGCAUUUGGUGAAUUUGAGGUAUUGGAUUGUUAUUGAGAAGAAUUUGUUAUAUUCACCAUUGCAAAUUGAAUUGGAGUGAAAACAAGUUAAAAUGAUAGAAAAAUGCUCUGUGGAGAUCAAUUUAGUAACAAUGCAUUCUAAUGACAAGUUUGUUGCUCGCUCUGUUG